rnacentral:rRNA from 1 species
GAUGAACGCUGGCGGCGUGCUUAACACAUGCAAGUCGAACGGUGAAGGCGGAGCUUGCUCUGCUGGAUCAGUGGCGAACGGGUGAGUAACACGUGAGCAAUCUGCCCCUGACUCUGGGAUAAGCGCUGGAAACGGCGUCUAAUACUGGAUACGAGCUGCGAAGGCAUCUUCAGCAGCUGGAAAGAACUUCGGUCAGGGAUGAGCUCGCGGCCUAUCAGCUUGUUGGUGAGGUAACGGCUCACCAAGGCGUCGACGGGUAGCCGGCCUGAGAGGGUGACCGGCCACACUGGGACUGAGACACGGCCCAGACUCCUACGGCAGGCAGCAGUGGGGAAUAUUGCACAAUGGGCGAAAGCCUGAUGCAGCAACGCCGCGUGAGGGACGACGGCCUUCGGGUUGUAAACCUCUUUUAGCAGGGAAGAAGCGAAAGUGACGGUACCUGCAGAAAAAGCGCCGGCUAACUACGUG